UACGGAGGGUGCAAGCGUUAUCCGGAAUCAUUGGGCUUAAAGGGUCCGCAGGCGGAAAGAUAAGUCAGUGGUGAAAUCUCACAGCUCAACUGUGAAACUGCCAUUGAUACUGUCUUUCUUGAAUUCGAUCGAAGUGGGCGGAAUGUGACAUGUAGCGGUGAAAUGCUUAGAUAUGUCACAGAACACCGAUAGCGAAGGCAGCUCACUAGGUCUGGAUUGACGCUCAGGGACGAAAGCGUGGGGAGCGAACAGG
rnacentral:rRNA from 1 species